rnacentral:lncRNA from 1 species
CCUCCAGAAAAUACUCUGCUUUUAAUACACAACAAUCCUACAUCACCUCUUCCCUUCCCUUACUCAUAGGGAUGGCAAAAUCCGGGUCCGGGUUUAGCCUUCCCAGUUCCGGACCCGGACGCCAUUUUCUUUCUCCCGGACCCAGAUUAAAACCCGAUUUUUUCACUCCGGGUCCGGUACGGGUUCAACCUGGAAAAAUCUGGGUUUCCGGAUUUCG